AGUGAACGCUGGCGGUAGGCCUAACACAUGCAAGUCGAACGGCAGCACAGUAAGAGCUUGCUCUUCCGGGUGGCGAGUGGCGGACGGGUGAGGAAUACAUCGGAAUCUACUUUUUCGUGGGGGAUAACGUAGGGAAACUUACGCUAAUACCGCAUACGACCUACGGGUGAAAGCAUGGGAUCUUCGGACCUUGCGCGAUUGAAUGAGCCGAUGUCGGAUUAGCUAGUUGGCGGGGUAAAGGCCCACCAAGGCGACGAUCCGUAGCUGGUCUGAGAGGAUGGUCAGCGACACUGGAACUGAGACACGGUCCAGACGCCUACGGGAGGCAGCAGUGGGGAAUAGGGGACAAUGGGCGCAAGCCUGAUACAGCCAGACCGCGUGGGUGAAGAAGGCCUUCGGGUUGUAAAGCCCUUUUGUUGGGAAAGAAAAGCAGCAGGUUAAUACCCCGCGGUUCUGACGGUACCCAAAGAAGAAGCACCGGCUAACUUCGUG
rnacentral:rRNA from 1 species